CAGUGGAUGAUGUCGGAUCCUAACAGAGGGCUAAAUCACUAGUUAACUAUUUUCAUCUUGGAAGUUAUACAGCUCACGUAUCACACUUAAUAUUGAAUAUAUAUAAAAAGGGUUUUCCAAAAGGACCAUUUAUAAUUGAAAUACAAAACUUCACACACGAUUUUGAGCACAACAGAGCGCUCAGUGAACAUCACUUCCGGGACCUGCAUCACCGGAGGGGGACAUCUAUCUUGGCCACAAACCAUCUUUGACAGUCUUCGACAGCAUGGUUGAAUCAGGCGCAUCAACACAUGAAAUAGACAUCGUGUCCAAAAGAAGAGCGAGACGUAAUCCUGAGGCUGAAGCCACCGAGUUUAUUUGAUCUGGAUGUGACAAGUCUUGUUUUAAGGCCCAGUGGAUCAAUGAUUGGAAAGACACCAACUGUUGAUGUUCUAUCUCAACAUUCUCCAGAUUCAUGUGAGCGAUAAACCGACUUCAUCCCUCCAACAGACACCAACUGUUGGGGUUCUAUCUCAACAUUCUCCAGAUUCAGAUGUGAGCGAUAAACCGACUUCAUCCCUCCAACAGAAACCAACUGUUGAGGUUCCAUCUCAACAUUCUCCAGAUUCAGAUGUGAGCCAUUAACUGACUUCAUCCCUCCAACAGAAACCAACUGUUGAGGUUCUAUCUCAACAUUCUCUAGAUUCAGAUGACAGCCAUAAACCGACUUCAUCCCUCCAACAGAUUGACAGCAGGACAAAUCGCUGGAAGUGGGUAUGUCUCAAGCUUCUUCCACUUGGUCCACUCCAAAGCGGG